CUCUCAGCAACGGAUAUCUUGGCUCUUGCAACGAUAAGAACGCAGCGAAAUGCGAUACGUAGUGUGAAUUGCAGAAUUCCGCGAAUCAUCGAGUUUUUGAACGCAAGUUGCGCCCGAGGCUUGUCCGAGGGCAUUUCCGCUAGAGCGUCAC
rnacentral:rRNA from 1 species